UCAUUUGAAGCUCAUAUCAUGCGCAACAAGCCAAAACAAACAAAUAAUUUGAAGUCAGACCAACCAAAACAAACAAAAGUUAGUUACCAUGGAAGAUUAUCACAAAAUUGCAGGACCCAGACAAUAUGAAUAAAGUGGGUUCUACGGGGUGGAAGAAAGCACAAAAGCUAUUGCCACGGUGGAGCAAAUCAGGGAAGGCAGGUUAGAGAAGACGCCACUAUGAGAACCCAAAAGCAGUG
rnacentral:lncRNA from 1 species